rnacentral:rRNA from 1 species
AAACCAACCGGGAUUGCCUUAGUAACGGCGAGUGAAGCGGCAAAAGCUCAAAUUUGAAAUCUGGUACCUUCGGUGCCCGAGUUGUAAUUUGGAGAGGGCAACUUUGGGGCCGUUCCUUGUCUAUGUUCCUUGGAACAGGACGUCAUAGAGGGUGAGAAUCCCGUGUGGCGAGGAGUGCGGUUCUUUGUAAAGUGCCUUCGAAGAGUCGAGUUGUUUGGGAAUGCAGCUCUAAGUGGGUGGUAAAUUCCAUCUAAAGCUAAAUAUUGGCGAGGGACCGAUAGCGAACAAGUACAGUGAUGGAAAGAUGAAAAGAACUUUGAAAAGAGAGUGAAAAAGUACGUGAAAUUGUUGAAAGGGAAGGGCAUUUGAUCAGACAUGGUGUUUUGUGCCCUCUGCUCCUUGUGGGUAGGGGAAUCUCGCAUUUCACUGGGCCAGCAUCAGUUUUGGUGGCAGGAUAAAUCCAUAGGAAUGUAGCUUGCCUCGGUAAGUAUUAUAGCCUGUGGGAAUACUGCCAGCUGGGACUGAGGACUGCGACGUAAGUCAAGGAUGCUGGCAUAAUGGUUAUAUGCCGC